CCAAGCCUCCUGCAGCGCGAUUACUAGACGCGCAGAGAGGAAAAAGAAGGCUGUGUUUUUCUCUAGUGCCCCCGCGUGAUGGGCGGGAGCUCAAUCGCAAACGUCGCUAGUCCUGGAAACAGGCAAGGAAAGAGGAAAAGAAUCCAUUCACUACACCAAAUUCAGGAUGAAGAUUCUGCCGGUAGAGCGCUCCUGACCACCUUUUCUUUGGUGCUGCCUGAUUCAAAUCAAGGAAAAGAAGAAAUUCAGAGUGAGAAGCCUGGAAGACACCAUCUUAUUCAAGUGAUCACAAUUAACAUCAUCCAUAAUCAGACAAAUUGCAGUCACCUAUCAUCUGUUAUGAUACAAUAUGACACAGCAUCACUUCUGUGAUAUUUCAUGA